rnacentral:rRNA from 1 species
UGCGGCCGCGACUCCGGUUGAUCCUGCCGGACCCGACCGCUAUCGGGGUGGGACUAAGCCAUGGGAGUCGUACGC